GUCCGCCAUCGUCAGCCGGCAGGGCCAUGACGUUCUGACCGCCAGCGACGGCGCCGAAGCCGUCGGGCUGUUCGACCGGCGGCGGCCGC
rnacentral:tRNA from 1 species